AGAGAAAGGAAAGAGAAAAUAGAUGGGGAGAAAGAAAAGAGGGAAAAAGUUGGUGGGCUAUUGAUGAAUGUGGAAAAAUAUUUUAAGGCAUUGAUUCGUAGAUGAUGCGGCCGGUCAUAUUUAAGGUGUGGAGCUGGAUUAGUGAAAAUUGAAUCGAAUCAUAUAAGGAUUAAUUUGGAGAGGUGUUGGAAGAGUUGAUAAUUUUGGAGCAUCUAGAAGAUUAUUUAGAAGGCGGUUUAAGUUUAUUUUGAUGAUGUGAUUUAUUUAUGGAGAAAAUAGGGGCCAAGAAGUGUUUAAAAUACAGUGUAUUUUGGAGUUUA